rnacentral:rRNA from 1 species
AGCGUGUCCGGAAUUAUUGGGCGUAAAGAGCUCGUAGGUUGUUUGUUACGUCGGAUGUGAAAACCUGAGGCUCAACCUCAGGCCUGCAUUCGAUACGGGCAAACUAGAGUUUGGUAGGGGAGACUGGAAUUCCUGGUGUAGCGGUGGAAUGCGCAGAUAUCAGGAGGAACACCAAUGGCGAAGGCAGGUCUCUGGGCCAAUACUGACACUGAGGAGCGAAAGUCUGGGGAGCGAACAGGAUUAGAUACCCUGGUAGUCCAGACCGUAAACGGUGGGCACUAGUUGUGGGGACCUCCCACGGUCUCUGCGACGCAGCUAACGCAUUAAGUGCCCCGCCUGGGGAGUACGAUCGCAAGAUUAAAACUCAAAGGAAUUGACGGGGCCCCGCACAAGCAGCGGAGCAUGCGGCUUAAUUCGACGCAACGCGAAGAACCUUACCAAGGCUUGACAUAUAGGGAAAAGUGGCAGAGAUGUCAUGUCCGCAAGGGCCCUAUACAGGUGGUGCAUGGUUGUCGUCAGCUCGUGUCGUGAGAUGUUGGGUUAAGUCCCGCAACGAGCGCAACCCUCGUUCUGUGUUGCCAGCAUUUAGUUGGGGACUCACAGGAGACUGCCGGGGUUAACUCGGAGGAAGGUGGGGAUGACGUCAAAUCAUCAUGCCCCUUAUGUCUUGGGCUGCACGCAUGCUACAAUGGCCGGUACAGAGGGCUGCAAUACCGUAAGGUGGAGCGAAUCCCAAAAAGCCGGUCUCAGUUCGGAUUGAGGUCUGCAACUCGACCUCAUGAAGUUGGAGUUGCUAGUAAUCGUAGAUCAGCAACGCUACGGUGAAUACGUUCCCGGGGCUUGUACACACCGCCCGUCACGUCACGAAAGUCGGUAACACCCAAAGUCAGUGGCCCAACCGCAAGGGGGGAGCUGCCUAAGGUGGGAUCGGUGAUUGGGACGAAGUCGUAACAAGGUAGCC